AGUCGAACGCACUCUCGAUAGAUUGAAGAAGCUUGCUUCUGAUUGAUAACAUUUGAGUGAGUGGCGGACGGGUGAGUAACACGUGGGUAACCUGCCCUAAAGUGGGGGAUAACAUUUGGAAACAGAUGCUAAUACCGCAUAAAACCUAGCACCGCAUGGUGCAAGGUUGAAAGAUGGUUUCGGCUAUCACUUUAGGAUGGACCCGCGGUGCAUUAGUUAGUUGGUGAGGUAAAGGCUCACCAAGACCGUGAUGCAUAGCCGACCUGAGAGGGUAAUCGGCCACACUGGGACUGAGACACGGCCCAGACUCCUACGGGAGGCAGCAGUAGGGAAUCUUCCACAAUGGACGAAAGUCUGAUGGAGCAACGCCGCGUGAGUGAAGAAGGUUUUCGGAUCGUAAAACUCUGUUGUUGGAGAAGAACGUAUUUGAUAGUAACUGAUCAGGUAGUGACGGUAUCCAACCAGAAAGCCACGGCUAACUACGUGCCAGCAGCCGCGGUAAUACGUAGGUGGCAAGCGUUGUCCGGAUUUAUUGGGCGUAAAGCGAGCGCAGGCGGUUUCUUAAGUCUGAUGUGAAAGCCUUCGGCUCAACCGAAGAAGUGCAUCGGAAACUGGGAAACUUGAGUGCAGAAGAGGACAGUGGAACUCCAUGUGUAGCGGUGAAAUGCGUAGAUAUAUGGAAGAACACCAGUGGCGAAGGCGGCUGUCUGGUCUGUAACUGACGCUGAGGCUCGAAAGCGUGGGUAGCAAACAGGAUGAGAUACCCUGGUAGUCCAUGCCGUAAACGAUGAGUGCUAGGUGUUGGAGGGUUUCCGCCCUUCAGUGCCGCAGCUAACGCUUUAAGCACUCCGCCUGGGGAGUACGACCGCAAGGUUGAAUCUCAAAGGAAUUGACAGGGGGCCCGCACAAGCGGUGGAGCAUGUGGUUUAAUUCGAAGCAACGCGAAGAACCUUACCAGGUCUUGACAUCCUUUGACCACUCAAGAGAUAGAGCUUUCCCUUCGGGGACAAAGUGACAGGUGGUGCAUGGUUGUUGUCAGCUCGUGUCUUGAGAUGUUGGGUUAAGUCCCGCAACGAGCGCAACCCUUAUUACUAGUUGCCAGCAUUUAGUUGGGCACUCUAGUGAGACUGCCGGUGACAAACCGGAGGAAGGUGGGGACGACGUCAAAUCAUCAUGCCCCUUAUGACCUGGGCUACACACUUGCUACAAUGGAUGGUACAACGAGUCGCGAGACCGCGAGGUUUAGCUAAUCUCUUAAAACCAUUCUCAGUUCGGAUUGUAGGCUGCAACUCGCCUACAUGAAGCCGGAAUCGCUAGUAAUC
rnacentral:rRNA from 2 species